CCUCCCCUAAAACUAAAAAGUACAUCCUUUGUCUACCUAAAACGAAAAAGUGCGGUUAAAUGUAUGACCGCAUCUUUUAUCCCCCUAUAUUUCCCCCCAAAAAUUUCAAUUAGUUUUCGCUUCCCUCCAUCGACCUAAUAACCCCCAAAACCCGGCCUCUAUCUAUCCUCAUAACUCCUCAUUUUUCAUCUACCACACACUACAACCCUCGCUUCAGAUCAAAUCCUCUCAAUCUUCACCCUAAUCUUGUCUUGUUUCUAUCGGUUUACCCAACAAAUAAGCUGAUCUAGGGUUUGUUUGUGUUCAAUUUCACCAACACAUAUACUUUUAUGCUUUUCAAUCAAAUGAUCUCUCACAAGAAACCAAUGAUAACAUCCGUGAAUCGUUCAAUUAUUCGUUUGGUCUUCCGGUAUCUACACAUACACUUGAGUUAAAGCUUCGAUGUUCGAUGUUUUGAAGAAACACAACGAUAACUUCGCGAACAGUACAUGUAUUUUGAAAUCCAAAUUGAAUGAGAAAGGUGAAUUCAUCGAGCGUGUUAGGGUUUGUUUUUAAUAUAUCAUAUUACAGUUUUCUCCUGGUUUCACUUGCUUGUUUUCUUCAGAGGUGAUCGUACCCUAUUGUAAGGUAUCCCACUCAGAUCUAUCAAGACAUGUGGCGACCAACACUUCUUCAUAUGAUUAUCCAAUCGUUGAUGUCUGCUUCAGAUUCAAAUCUUUCAAAUAACUUAAGAGUGUUACUACCCAUGUAAUGUAGGUGGGAAUGGCUUAACCGAAGGUUAUCAUCACAAUGGGCUGCGCUAAGAAGCCAAUGGAUGAUGUUUUACAGAAGCGUUUGUGUUGGCCCAGCUCCCUGUUAAAUUAAUCCCAGAAUAGAAAAUAAUUGAUAAACAGAGAUUUUCACAAAACAAAAUGGAUAAACACUUUUAUAUAUGUAUAUAUAUUUAGUGAAGCUUUGUAAAUCCUUCUUAUUAUGAUCUUCUAUAAGUAAUUGUUUUUUUAUGCUUGAUUGACAGUGUGUCAAAAAGGAUGGAGCAAAUUAUGGAUCACUCUAUGUUCCUUUGUUGCAGAAACUCAGUAAACACA